AUGGUGUUUGUUAAGUGCUUACUAUGUGUCAAGCAGAUAGAUACAAGAUACCAGGGAAUCGAGUUGUCCCACGUGGAGCUCACAGUCUUAAUCCCCAUUUUACAGAUGAGGUAACUGAGGCCCAGAGAAGUUAAGUGACUCGACCAAAGUAACACAGCUGAUGUGGAGGAACCGGGAUGAGAACCCACGACCUUUUGACUCCCUAGGUCCGGCUCUUUCCACUAAGCCACGCUGCCUUUCUCCUACACCCUUCUCCCUCUCCUUCCCCGCCUUCCUCCUCACCCCUCUCUCCUUCCUUACCUUUUCUGCCCUCUAACCCCUUCUUCCCUUCUCUCCCCGCCCUCCUCCUCCUCCUCACCUCCUCUCUCCAUCCCACCCCUUUCCCCUGCGCUUACAACAGUGUCUGGCACUUAGAACAGUAUUUGGCACGUAGUAAGCGCUUAACAAGUACCGUCAUCAUUAUUACCUCUCCCGUCCGGCCCCCCCCCCCCCCCGCCCUCUUCACCCCCCCCCUUCUCUCACCCCUCCCUGUCACCCGCCCCCUUUUCCCACACACAGACACACACACAUAGACACACCCACCCGCCCUCACCUAGGGCGAGCAGCCCCAUAUAAAGGGCUGGUCUGGGCCCAAAGGCCCAGAACGGACUGGCUUCUCUUGGCCCGGCCUCGCCCGGCUUUUCAGAGAAGACUCACCUGUCUGGAGCAGGACCCCCACCCAACCAUGAGACCCCGGAUCCCGGCCGGCCUGCUGCUGCUGCUGUUCCUGGGCCUCCUGAUCUUGGUCCUCCCACCUGCAGAGGGGAAAGGAGGCUUCAGGUACAUCUGCCGGCAUUGCAGACACAAGGAAAAACCUGGAUUCCCCAGUAGCUUUCUGGUGCCCGGACCCCUCCCCAGCCUGUAACCGAAACACAGGAGCAGUGGCCCUGGCUGAUGGUGGGCAGUUCAAGCGAUUUCCACACCUGUUGCAGCUCCUGCAGGUCCUGCCUCUCAAAGACCUCUUCUUGAGGCCCAAAUCCACAACUAAGUCAUUGGCCUGACUUUAAUGGGACAGAAGAAGACCAGGACCCUGACUCUAAUAAUCAUGUACCCAAUCGAUCGUAUUUAUUGAGCACCUACUACGUGCAGAGCACUGUACUUAGCACUUGGGAGAGUAGCUCGUUGUGGGCGGAGAAUGUGUCUGUUUGUAGUUAUAUGGUACUCUCCCAGUACAGUAAGCGCUCAAUAAGUACGAUUGAAUGAAUUCAUUCAAUCGUACUUAUUGAGCGCUUACUGUGUGCAGAGCACUGUACUAAGUGCUUGGAAUGUACAGUUCGGCAACGGAUGAAUGAAUGAAGGAAUGAAAUAAGAGACUUGGUAGCCCCUGACAUGUUUUGGAGUUGCUGGUGCCACUUCCGGGGUAAGGCAGCAGGCCUCAGGUUCCGCUGAGGAAAGGAGGGACAACAGGGUGGGGUGAACUGGAGUAAAUGGUUCAGCUUCUUCAGCCUCGAGUCUCCCUCUUUAAGUGGACACACUGAUUCGGCGUACUCUGGGUCUGGUGGGAGGAAAGAAAGGAGCACGGGGAGGUGGGGAGCUAUUGCUAAUCGGUCAUCUGUGUGAGGUUGUGGUCAAACCACUGGGUCAUCUCUGGGCAAGGUUCUGGAUGUCCAUUUGAAGCAUUCACUAUAGGGCUGGAGGGCAACUCCGUAGUCAUCCCUCUUGGAGGGUGGCCACCACACAGGUUUCCGGUCAAGGGAGUCUCCAACACCAGGCCUCAGUCUUGCUGACCCCACCAAUAGUCUCACUCCCAUCUCUCCCCUGGGAUGGAUCUCUGGGGGUGAUAAGGACUUUUGGUUGGUUGCUAGGGCAGAUCAGAAUUGGUGCUGGAGCAGCUGCAGUCAAUCUGGUCACAAGAUCAGACCCCAUUCUAAAAUCCCACACGUUAUGUGGUCCGAGGGAGCAGCGUGGCCUAGUGGAUAGAGCACGGACCUGGGAUUCAGAAGGCCGUGGGUUCCAAUCCCAGCUCGGCCACUUGUUUGCUGUGUGACCUUGGGCAAGUCACUUAACUUGUCUGCACCUCAGUUCCCUCAUCUUUAAAUUGGGGAUUAAGAGUGUGAGCCCCAUGUGGGACAGUGACUGUGUCCAGUCUGAUUACCUUAUAACUACCCCAGCACUUAGGCACUUGACAAAUACCAUAAUUAUUAUUAUUAGUGAGUGAGAUCCAUCCCCGGUCCUCAACCUCCUGCCUCCCUGACAAGAGUCACUUCAGUGGCCCCUGUUCCAACUGUGAAAAACCAAAGGAAAUAAAAAAUUCACUUUCAGAAGAGACCAGUGGGCAUGUGUGGCAUUCAGAGGGGCUGAGCCAGGGCUGAGUGCAUGUGACCAUAUGCAUCUUUGCUUUAAACUAUGAACUCCUCCACCUGGACUGGGCCAUUGGUGGACUCUUCCUCAGUCAGACUCAAUAAACAUAGAAUAACACCCACCCUGGUGUGGAAGGAUUCCUCUCUCAAAGAUGUCACGUUGCCCUUUUCCUCAUCUUGAGCUGAGGCCCCUAAGAAGGUCGUGGCUCCACUCUACAGUGGCCCUGGAUCACUGAAAUCCCCAAGGAAAGGGAGCUUCAAUUCACUCUUCUCUGGGGCUGCAGGAAUUCUUGGUCAAAGCGUUAUUAUAAUGUUGGUAUUUGUUAAGCGCUUACUAUCUGCCGAGCACUGUUCCAAGCGCUGGGGUAGACACAGGGGAAUCAGGUCGUCCCACGUGGGGCUCACAGUCUUAAUCCCCAUUUUACAGAUGAGGGAACUGAGGUACAGAGAAGUUAAGUGACUUGCCCACAGUCACACAGCUGACAGGUGGCAGAGCCGGGAAUCAAACCCAUGACCUCUGACUCCCAAGCCCGGGCUCUUUCCACUGAGCCACGCUGCUCCGAGCCAUUUCUGAUUCAUAGCGACCCUAUCGACGAAUUUUCCCCAGAACAUCUUAUCUUCUGCCAUAAUCCGUAACCUUGCUAAAGAUUCUUUCGUUAUCAAUGUUAUGGCUUCUAGCCAUCUAGCUGCUGGUCUGCCUCAUCCACAUUUUCCCGGGACUUUUCAUAAGCAUUAGUGUCUUCUCCAGACUAUUAGUCCAAAGAGAGCAGUUGAUGCCCUAGUUUAAUUCUGUUUCUGCAGGCAGUUCUCCCUGAGACCUCUCACAGAU
rnacentral:lncRNA from 1 species